rnacentral:tRNA from 1 species
GCCCUUAUAGCUCAGUGGUAGAGCGCAUCACUCGUAGCCUAUGCUUAUGUAAGCAACAUUAUUAUGAUGAGGUCCAUCGUUCAAAUCGGUGUGGGGGCA